CCUUAAAAGCAACAGCCUGAAGUUAAAUCUCACCAGGAAGUGGUGUGGGGGGUGAGAGAUGAGAAGUGAGAGGGUAGGGUAGGGGACGGCAUGGAAGUGAAGAGCAACACAUCUGGAAAGCCCAGAUACCCCCAAGUUGGAAGUGACCUGCAAGCCCCCAAGGCAGGAGCCAGAAGCCAGAGAGACCCUGUUCUCAGCCUGUAGAGCUGGAAGCUCAGGGUUUGUACUAAUGUACAAAAUCAAUAAGAGGAGAGUGUGGACUUCGACGUCUCUCUUCAUCGACGUCUCUCUUCAUCUUCCUCCAGGCUUUAAAAGGAGGCCAGGAAGUCCUGAUGUUGGUCUCUGUAGAGGCUGUUGCUAAUCUGAGGAAGAUACUUUUGUGGCUGGGGUGAGCUUUACGAUCAGUAAGCCCUUUCCAGAGGAAGCCGGGAAGUCACGUGCCUAUUCUCCAAAUUAUGAGCUUCCUGUGGAAGCCAGAGAGGACUGGAUUCAUUGUGUGUGAUCUGGCUGGAUCCCUGCCCAUGCCUGUUAGUCUGUCAUCUUCUGUAGCUCUGUCCAGGAGACCCAUGAGAAGAACGUAAAAAGAACAGAACCCUGGGGCAUACCUGACCCAUUUCUGAUAAGUCAAGGAAACUUUGCUAAAAAUCCAACAGGUAGGUUGGCAUCAGUUGCCCCAAACCCGAGGGGGCGGGGCUUGAUCUGGCCAAUAGGGAAUGGGUGGAGUCUGAAAUGAAACAGCAGGUUAGGGAGAGGAAGUAAAUCCUGCCAGUUUUCUCUCUGGUCCAUUUUAGUGGGUGUCACUUAUGUGUGCUCACUAAAUAUUUCCAUGUGGUUAUAUGAAAUUUGAACUUGUCUCUAUUAUGGUCAGAGGAAUUUUGAAUAUGUUUAGUUAUAAUAUUAAAUAACAUGUGCUUUUUAAAACUAUAGUAUUAAAUAGAACAUGAGAUAGGUAUACAAUUUCUCACAAAGUUGGAGUAACGGAUACUCUGUCAACAACAACAAAAGUCAUCUAUAAACCACCUACUGAGAAAAAUCCAAGAUGGCCCCAGCUGGCAGGUGGGUCUUCCUGGCCCAUUAGUGAACCCCCAUUCUUGUUUGGAUACCCAUGGACCUUUCCUGGCAAAGGUGAAUGAAUGUUCAUGCUAGAUUUAGAUUUGUAUAAUCAGGAAAAGAUACUCAGAACAGAAAGCAUUAUUGUAAUUUGGACUGAUAUCGUAUCUUUCACCAUCAGAUUAAGGAAUUCAUCUUUAUGACAGGUGCAAUGAGAUGCUGUCCUGUAGGGAACCAUGUCUGGCCACUCAAAAGGUCACAGAGAGAUUAAAAUCGGAACACACACAUCCUCCAUACACACAUGAGAUGGUAAGAAACAGAUCUGCUGUCUGUUAGAAGCAGAGCUUUCCUGGGUGCAUUUCUAUAAUGGAACCAUCCAAUUCCUAGGCUCUGGAACUGGAUUUUGUCACAUACAUUUUGAUGGAAGGAAGUAAACAGAGACAGGAAAAAUUGCUUACACCAUAGAAUGAGUGAAGACUCAUACUUAACAAAGAGGAAUAAUUUAAGAAAUUCAAUGAGAAUGUUAGUUUUUAGUAUAACAAGAUGCAUAAUCUCUUCACGGCCUAGCCACAAAUAGUGAAUGGAUGCAUUCCUGAGUGGUUCACUAUUAGUAUUUCUUUAAGAGUUUUGAGUUUCACAUAAUGUAUUUUGAUCAUAUUCAUCCCCCAACUCUUUGCAGAUCCACCCAGCUUCGUGUCUUUUUAAAUUUUAAACUCUUCAGGACCAGU